AAUAUGAUCCCUUCCCCUCUCCCCACCCCUUCUCUCUUAGGUUAGUGUUUGGGGGACAGGCAAGGGGCUGGGGAUUGGCCCCAACUUGGAAUUGCUGCCAAGGGCUCGUAAUACAAUCUCUCCCAUUUGAAGGGUAAAUCAGUGUCAACUGCGUUUGCUGUCCAGCAGAAAAAAAACACCAAGAGGAGCCAUCACAGAAGUAUGAAGAGGGGCGGCGCGGACACAGCUGCCGCCAAGGUGCUGCUGUGCUGCGGGGAGCCCAGGCCACAGGACCUGUGUCUGGAGAAGUCACAGGGGCGCAGCCGGGAGCGCCUGCGCUGCUGAGCUGCUGCUGCUGAGCUGCGGGGAGCAGUGGGCUCGGGCUUGAUCAAUGAGCCCUUCUUCAAGGAAUGCCCUGCUCUAGCUGUGGAGAGUGUGGUGGUGGUCCUUUCCAAUAUGGGUGCUCAGGUUCUGACUG